CUAUAAGUGGUAGGAGAGCGUAGUACUAGCAAUGAAGGUAUACCGAAAGGAGUGCUGGAGCGAGUACUAGUGAAUAUGCAUGGCAUAAGUAAACGAUAAAGGAGGUGAAAAUCCUCCUCGCCGAAAACCUAAGGUUUCCAGGGUAAAGUUCGUCUUCCCUGGGUUAGCCGGCCCCUAAGUCCAGGCGGAAACGCGUAGGCGAUGGGAAGCAGGUUAAAUAUUCCUGCGCUGUCUAAGACUAUAGCAACGAAGUGACGAAGUAAGUUAAGCAUGCGGACAAUUGGAUGUCCGUUUAUCUCCGAGACCGGUCAGUAGGUAAGUCCGCUGACGUAACGUUAGAGAGACGACAAGGGGAACGCAAGGGAACCGAUGAUGUAGCGCGAUACUUUCAAGAAAUAACUUCUAGCUGUCGAUGGCAACCGUACCAAAACCGACACAGGUGGGUGGGAUGAAAAUUCUAAGGCGCGCGAGAGAACUCACGUUAAGGAACUCUGCAAAAUAGCCACGUAACUUCGGGAGAAGUGGCGCUUUUAUUCGUCAUGGAGAACAUCCAGAGCGAAUGGAAGCCGCAGUGAAAGGGCCCAGGCGACUGUUUAACAAAAACACAGCACUCUGCUAAUUCGUCUAAGAAGACGUAUAGGGUGUGAUACCUGCCCAAUGCCGAAAGGUCAAAAGGAGAUGUUAGUAGCAAUACAACGCAUUGAAUCUAAGCCCCGGUGAAUGGCGGCCGUAACUAUAACGGUCCUAAGGUAGCGAAAUUCCUUGUCGGGUAAGUUCCGACCUGCACGAAUGGUGUAACGAUCUGGGCGCUGUCUCAACGAGAGACUCGGUGAAAUUGUAGUAGCAGUGAAGAUGCUGUUUACCCGCAAUAAGACGGAAAGACCCCGUGAACCUUUACUGUACUCUGAUAUGGGCUCUUGACUUGUUAUGUGUAGGAUAGCCAGGAGGCUUUGAAGAGGUGUCGUUAGGCAUCUUGGAGCCAUCGGUGAAAUACUGGUCUUAACAAGUUGAGAAUCUAACACUACUCCAUGAAGCUGGAGAGUGGACACUGUCAGACGGGCAGUUUUACUGGGGCGGUAUCCUCCAAAAGAGUAACGGAGGAGUCCAAAGCUUGCCUCAUCGUGGUUGGUAAUCACGAAUCGAGCGUAAAAGUAUAAGGCAAGUUGACUGCGAGUCCAACAAGACAAGCAGGUACGAAAGUAGGGUUUAGUGAUCCGGCGGUUGAAAGUGGAAUCGCCGUCGCUCAACGGAUAAAAGGUACUCCGGGGAUAACAGGCUUAUCGCCACCAAGAGUUCAUAUCGACGUGGCGGUUUGGCACCUCGAUGUCGACUCAUCGCAUCCUGGGGCUGGAGAAGGUCCCAAGGGUUUGGCUGUUCGCCAAUUAAAGCGGUACGCGAGUUGGGUUCAAAACGUC
rnacentral:rRNA from 1 species